UAAAGUGAUGGCGACCGGCGCACGGGUGAGUAACACGUAUCCAACCUGCCGAUAACUCGGGGGUAGCCUUUCGAAAGAAAGAUUAAUACCCGAUGGUAUAAUAAAGCCGCAUGGUUUAAUUAUUAAAGAAUUUCGGUUAUCGAUGGGGAUGCGUUCCAUUAGGCAGUUGGUGAGGUAACGGCUCACCAAACCUUCGAUGGAUAGGGGUUCUGAGAGGAAGGUCCCCCACAUUGGAACUGAGACACGGUCCAA
rnacentral:rRNA from 1 species